rnacentral:rRNA from 1 species
GGCGGUAUUUUAAUCUCUCCAGAGGAACCUGUUUUGUAAUCGAUAAUCCACGAUGGACCUUACUUAAGUUUGUAUUCAGUUUAUAUACCGUCGUUAUCAGAAUAUUUUAUAAGAAUAAUAAUAUUCAAUAAUUUUUAAAAAAAUUUAUAUCAGAUCAAGGUGUAGCUUAUAUUUAAGUAAUAAUGGGUUACAAUAAAAAUAUUUAAACGGAUAAAAUUAUGAAAAAAUUUUUGAAGGUGGAUUUGGUAGUAAAAUUAUAAAGAUAAAUAAUUUGAUUAUAGCUCUAAAAUAUGU